AACGAACGCUGGCGGCAGGCCUAACACAUGCAAGUCGAGCGCUGUAGCAAUACAGAGCGGCGCACGGGAUAAUAACGCGUGGGAACCUACCUUUUGGUUCGGAAUAACAUCGGGAAACUGGUGCUAAUACCGAAUAAGCCCUCCGGGGGAAAGAUUUAUUGCCGAAAGAUGGGCCCGCGUUGGAUUAGCUAGUUGGUGAGGUAAUGGCUCACCAAGGCUACGAUCCAUAGCUGGUCUGAGAGGAUGAUCAGCAUCACUGGGACUGAGACACGGCCCAGACUCCUACGGGAGGCAGCAGUGGGGAAUAUUGGACAAUGGGGGAAACCCUGAUCCAGCCAUGCCGCGUGAAUGAUGAAGGCCUUCGGGUUGUAAAGUUCUUUUGGUGGGGACGAUGAUGACGGUACCCACAGAAUAAGCUCCGGCUAACUUCGUGCCAGCCGCCGCGGUAA
rnacentral:rRNA from 1 species